GUGAACGCUGGCGGUAGGCCUAACACAUGCCAGUCGAACGGCAGCACAGUAAGAGCUUGCUCUUACGGGUGGCGAGUGGCGGACGGGUGAGGAAUACAUCGGAAUCUACUUUUUCGUGGGGGAUAACGUAGGGAAACUUACGCUAAUACCGCAUACGACCUACGGGUGAAAGCAGGGGAUCUUCGGACCUUGCGCGAUUGCAUGAGCCGAUGUCGGAUUAGCUAGUUGGCGGGGUAAAGGCCCACCAAGGCGACGAUCCGUAGCUGGUCUGAGAGGAUGAUCAGCCACACUGGAACUGAGACACGGUCCAGACUCCUACGGGAGGCAGCAGUGGGGAAUAUUGGACAAUGGGCGCAAGCCUGAUCCAGCCAUACCGCGUGAGUGAAGAAGGCCUUCGGGUUGUAAAGCCCUUUUGUUGGGAAAGAAAAGCAGCAGGUUAAUACCCCGCUGUUCUGACGGUACCCAAAGAAUAAGCACCGGCUAACUUCGUG
rnacentral:rRNA from 1 species